rnacentral:rRNA from 1 species
GACGAACGCUGGCGGCGUGCCUAAUACAUGCAAGUAGAACGCACAGUUUAUACCGUAGCUUGCUACACCAUAGACUGUGAGUUGCGAACGGGUGAGUAACGCGUAGGUAACCUGCCUGGUAGCGGGGGAUAACUAUUGGAAACGAUAGCUAAUACCGCAUAAUAUUAAUUAUUGCAUGAUAAUUAAUUGAAAGGUGCAAUUGCACCACUACCAGAUGGACCUGCGUUGUAUUAGCUAGUGGGUGAGGUAACGGCUCACCUAGGCGACGAUACAUAGCCGACCUGAGAGGGUGAUCGGCCACACUGGGACUGAGACACGGCCCAGACUCCUACGGGAGGCAGCAGUAGGGAAUCUUCGGCAAUGGACGAAAGUCUGACCGAGCAACGCCGCGUGAGUGAAGAAGGUUGUCGGAUCGUAAAGCUCUGUUGUAAGAGAAGAACGGGUGUGAGAGUGGAAAGUUCACACUGUGACGGUAUCUUACCAGAAAGGGACGGCUAACUACGUG